UGGGCUUGACAUGUAGAGGAAACGCUCACGAAAGUGAGCGCCUCCCGCAAGGGAUCUCUACAC
rnacentral:rRNA from 1 species